UCCAGAGCGGUCCUCACUAGUUACCACUGACACAUUGUCAUACCCGCCUAAUUCUACAAAUACUUUUCUUAAAAUGAGAUUUUAUUAAACCUAACCGUGAAUGAAGACCAAAUAUCGAUGUGGACUUUGUGGCUGUGGUAACUAGUGUAAACCACCUGGAGCCGAAUCCCGUCACAUCAUUGUACAAUUAGUUUAUUUUUCAGACUUUGGAAACACUUUCCUAGCACAGUUGUCUGUUCGGUGUUGAAACUAGAGGGGUUCCGGUGGUGAGAAGACGACGAGGGUGACUGAACAACCGCUGACAUCAUGGCAACGGACUCCUGGGCCCAGGCUGUGGACGAACAAGAAGCCGCGGCGGAAUCGAUUGGUAGCCUGCAAAUCAAAGAUAAGCUUGAGGGAAAUGGCGCAGCAAGCACGACAACAACAACCACAUCAGCAGCAGCAAGUGCUUCAAUGUCUGCAUAGAUGGAAGGAGGCGAGGGAAACAAAACAGAGGAGGAGGAAGACGACAAAGGUG